CCAUCAGGCUGAAAACAAGGAUCCCAGCCGAAGUCCCGGCAGCCUCGGGGCACCACAAUCCGGCCCUGCCAGACGAAAGGGAGGGACAGAGAACAUUUCUGUGAAAGUAGCAGACAACUACGACUAAUUUUUCCCAGCAAUUAUGAUCCAGCAAUCCUGGCUCUGUUCAGCCAAAAGAACUGAGCACAAGAUCAAGAGGUAUCUGCACACCCAUGUUCAUAGCAGCAUUAUUCACAAUAGCCGAAUGUGGAGGCAACUGAAACGCCCAUCGAUGGAUAAAUGGACAAAACAAAUGUGAAUAUACAUACAAUGGAUAUUAUUCAG